UUUUCCUACGGGGGGCAGCAGUGAGGAAUAUUGGUCAAUGGCCGAGAGGCUGAACCAGCCAAGUCGCGUGAGGGAAGAAUGUCCUAUGGAUUGUAAACCUCUUUUGUCAGGGAGCAAAGUCACCCACGUGUGGGUGUUGGAGAGUACCUGAAGAAAAAGCAUCGGCUAACUCCGUGCCAGCAGCCGCGGUAAUACGGAGGAUGCGAGCGUUAUCCGGAUUUAUUGGGUUUAAAGGGUGCGCAGGCGGCGAGUUAAGUCAGCGGUAAAAUUUCGGGGCUCAACCCCGACGAGCCGUUGAAACUGGC
rnacentral:rRNA from 1 species